GAUGAACGCUAGCGGCAGGCUUAAUACAUGCAAGUCGAGGGGCAGCAUGACUGUAGCAAUACAGUUGAUGGCGACCGGCAAACGGGUGCGGAACACGUACAGAACCUUCCUUCGAGCGGGGAAUAGCCCAGAGAAAUUUGGAUUAAUACCCCAUAGUACAACGGAGUGGCAUCACUUUGUUGUUAAAGAUUUAUCACUUGAAGAUGGCUGUGCGGCUGAUUAGGUAGUUGGCGGGGUAACGGCCCACCAAGCCUGCGAUCAGUAACUGGUGUGAGAGCACGACCAGUCACACGGGCACUGAGACACGGGCCCGACUCCUACGGGAGGCAGCAGUAAGGAAUAUUGGUCAAUGGACGAAAGUCUGAACCAGCCAUGCCGCGUGGAGGAUGAAGGUCCUCUGGAUUGUAAACUUCUUUUAUAUGGGACGAAAAGGGUUUCUAACUCGUCUGACGGUACCAUAUGAAUAAGCACCGGCUAACUCCGUGCCAGCAGCCG
rnacentral:rRNA from 1 species